rnacentral:rRNA from 1 species
AGAGUUUGAUCAUGGCUCAGGACGAACGCUGGCGGCGUGCUUAACACAUGCAAGUCGAACGGAGCGAUUUAUUUCGGUAAAUCGCUUAGUGGCAAACGGGUGAGUAACGCGUAGGCAACCUGCCCUCGGGAUGGGGACAACGGCUCGAAAGAGCCGCUAAUACCGAAUGACGUACCUUUUUCACAUGGAAGAGAUACUAAAGAUGGGUCAAACCAUCGCCCGAGGAUGGGCCUGCGUCUGAUUAGCCAGUUGGUGAGGUAACGGCUCACCAAAGCAACGAUCAGUAGCCGGUCUGAGAGGAUGAACGGCCACAAUGGGACUGAGACACGGCCCAUACUCCUACGGGAGGCAGCAGUGGGGAAUCUUCCGCAAUGGGCGCAAGCCUGACGGAGCAACGCCGCGUGAGUGAAGAAGGUCUUCGGAUCGUAAAGCUCUGUUGUCGGGGACGAAAGGGUAGACGAGGUAAUGCGUUUACUAAGACGGUACCCGACGAGGAAGCCACGGCUAACUACGUGCCAGCAGCCGCGGU